rnacentral:misc_RNA from 1 species
AAGUCAUAACAAGGUUUCCGUAGGUGAACCUGCUGAAGGAUCAUUAAUAGUGCCCUCUGAUGCAAAUCAUUGGGUUAGAUCUGCUCUCUUCGCAAGAAGAGGGUUUCCAUACACACCGUGAACUGUGGCUUCGGCCAUCACAAACUGUUAGUAAUGAAUGUAAUAUCAUAACAAAAACAAAACUUUUAACAACUGAUCUCUUGGCUCUC